UUUAAGGUCUAAUCUCGAAAGAGAGCGGAGAAACCGUUAUUGGGGUGAAGCGCUUAGCGCUGGGCUAUCCUCUGUCCUAACCCGUCAGCUAACUUCGCAGACUAUUGAGGGG
rnacentral:sRNA from 1 species